GCGCAAAUUACCCACUCCCGACCCGGGGAGGUAGUGACGAAAAAUAACAAUACAGGACUCUUUCGAGGCCCUGUAAUUGGAAUGAGCGCACUUUAAAUCCUUGAGCGAGGAUCCAUUGGAGGGCAAGUCUGGUGCCAGCAGCCGCGGUAAUUCCAGCUCCAAUAGCGUAUCUUAAAGUUGCUGCAGUUAAAAAGCUCGUAGUUGGAUCUUGGGAUCGAGCUGGCGGUCCGCCGCGAGGCGAGCCACCGCC
rnacentral:ncRNA from 1 species